rnacentral:lncRNA from 1 species
UUUUGACUUUUUUGCCCUUGUUUUAAUUUUAUUUUCAUACUUUUUUUUUUUUUGUAAAAAAAGAAAAAAAAACCCCCCUGAAAUGGGGGUGGGGUUUGGCCUGACCCCUACCUGUUCAGAAAGAUGAAAAAAUAUAGAGCUGAGGGGGGCUAGGCCUUACCUCAUUACAAGUAGGAUUUAAAACAACAUAGACCAAAAGGCCUUGAACAAAACUAAGCAGACCUAGAUAGUAGACUAGAAGCCCAAACCUAU